rnacentral:pre_miRNA from 1 species
ACAGAAAGUAUAAAACAGAGAAAGGACGAAACACAGACGAGUGCAUUGAAAGAAUCGUCUGUGUUUCGUCCUCUCUCUGUUUUAUACUUUCUGUUA